UAACUACGUUUUGGGUUUCUCUGUCCGGGUUUGUGUAACUAGGUUUUGGGUUUUCUCUGUCCGGGUUUGUGUAACUAGGUUUUGGGUUUUCUCUGUCCGGGUUUGUGUAACUAGGUUUUGGGUGUUCGCUGUCCGGGUUUGUGUAACUAGGUUUUGGGUGUUCGCUGUCCGGGUUUGUGUAACUAGGUUUUGGGUUUUCUCUGUCCGGGUUUGUGUAACUAGGUUUUGGGUUUUCUCUGUCCGGGUUUGUGUAACUAAGUUUUGGGUUUUCUCUGUCCGGGUUUGUGUAACUAAGUUUUGGGUUUUCUCUGUCCGGGUUUGUGUAACUAGGUUUUGGGUUUUCUCUGUCCGGGUUUGUGUAACUAAGUUUUGGGUUUUCUCUGUCCGGGUUUGUGUAACUAGGUUUUGGGUUUUCUCUGUCCGGGUUUGUGUAACUAAGUUUUGGGUUUUCUCUGUCCGGGUUUGUGUAACUAGGUUUUGGGUUUUCUCUGUCCGGGUUUGUGUAACUAAGUUUUGGGUUUUCUCUGUCCGGGUUUGUGUAACUAGGUUUUGGGUUUUCUCUGUCCGGGUUUGUGUAACUAGGUUUUGGGUGUUCGCUGUCCGGGUUUGUGUAACUAGGUUUUGGGUUUGUGUAACUAGGUUUUAGGCGUUCUCUGUCCGGGUUUGUGUAACUAGGUUUUGGGUUUGUUUUUGCACCUGUGUUUUAGGGCUUCACCCAUGUUUGGACCUGUUACUUUGUUAAGGACAUUUAAGUGUUUUUUCCCGUUUACUUUGCUCUCUGCGUUUGACUCCUCACCCAUCACUCACCCACCAUUACAUUGGGAAGAUUUUUUGAGAAAGAAAUGACUAUUUCGGCAUACUAACUGGCUACACAACACUAACAGGCACAUUUCCAUAUCAUUACCUUGCAAGAAAUAUUUCUCCUUGAUGCAUUAUUAUGAUUAUGAGAAACUAAUGGAAUUUAACUAACUUCAAUACAUUUAAUACAUGUUCAAUACAAGUUUUAAAUUGUUUAAUUCUAUUUUGAUGUCUGGAUUCUGUGAUUUCGUCCCCGUUUUCUGCAUUAUACAUUUCAUAGGGCCCUACUAAGGGUGGCAGGUAGCCUAGCCGUUAGAGUGUUGGGCCAGUAACUGAAAAGUUACUGGUUUGAAAACCAGACAACGUGAAAUGUCUGUUGAUGUGCCCUUGAGCAAGGCACUUAACCCUAAUUUACUACAGUAGCACUGUACUACUAUGGCUAAGCCUGUAAAACAACACAUUUCACUGCACCUAUCUGGUGUACGUGAUAAUAAAACAAUGAUGAAUUGGAAUAGUGGGUUUCAACGUAAAGGCAUCACCUAUGAGCUUAAAAUAUAUACCCUUUUUCUGAUUCUGGAGUGGGUGGGUGGUAGUGCAAUGGGGGGGCUGGUCAAAAAAUGCCCCUUAUAUUUAAAUUUUUUAAAUCCUUUUGGUUGAAGGGUAAUGAUGUCAGGAGCUGUGUGGGAAUUUUCUUCAGCCUCUCCUAAAUAUAGCAAAUGAGAAAAUUACAGUUUCGCACCAUUAUAAAAUGUACGCUAGUGAAAACACACAUGAACGGAGGGAUUUUCUUUGCAUUGGUCCUUUUGGGUGAAUGACAGGAAAUGAUGUCAGGAGGUGUAUGAAAAUUGUCUACAAUUCUAUUCACUAAUCUUCAACUUUGACCACGGGUCCUACCAGACAUUCCUAUAAUAAUCAGUCCACAAAGCUUAUGAUACGAAAAUAAUAUUUUAACAGCAUUUCAGUAAUUGGAGAAAUGACAUACAUUUUUUUUCAUUUGACUACAGGGGAAGGUACGACAUGUGAUAACGUAAUCAUUUUUAGCUAU